rnacentral:rRNA from 1 species
AGAGUUUGAUUAUGGCUCAGGAUGAACGCUAGCGACAGGCUUAACACAUGCAAGUCGAGGGGCAGCAAUAAAAGUAGCAAUACUUGGUGGCGACCGGCGCACGGGUGAGUAACGCGUAUGCAACCUACCUAUCAGAGGGGAAUAACCCGGCGAAAGUCGGACUAAUACCGCAUAAAACAGGGGCACCGCAUGGUGAUAUUUGUUAAAGAAAUUCGCUGAUAGAUGGGCAUGCGUUCCAUUAGGUAGUUGGUGAGGUAACGGCUCACCAAGCCGACGAUGGAUAGGGGAACUGAGAGGUUGGUCCCCCACACUGGUACUGAGACACGGACCAGACUCCUACGGGAGGCAGCAGUGAGGAAUAUUGGUCAAUGGGCGAGAGCCUGAACCAGCCAAGUCGCGUGAAGGAAGAAGGAUCUAUGGUUCGUAAACUUCUUUUGCAGGGGAAUAAAGUGCAGGACGUGUCCUGUUUUGUAUGUACCCUGAGAAUAAGGAUCGGCUAACUCCGUGCCAGCAGCAGC